rnacentral:rRNA from 1 species
AGAGUUUGAUCCUGGCUCAGGAUGAACGCUAGCGGCAGGCUUAACACAUGCAAGUCGAGGGGCAGCGUGGAGCAGCAAUGCUCUGACGGCGACCGGCGGAAGGGUGCGUAACACGUGAGCGACUUGCCCGUCACAGGGGGAUAACCGGCGGAAACGGCGACUAAUACCCCAUAUGAUGCGAUGCUGCAUGGCAUAGCAUUGAAAGAUUCAUCGGUGGCGGAUAGGCUCGCGGGACAUUAGCUAGACGGCGGGGCAACGGCCCACCGUGGCGACGAUGUCUAGGGGUUCUGAGAGGAAGACCCCCCACACUGGGACUGAGACACGGCCCAGACUCCUACGGGAGGCAGCAGUGAGGAAUAUUGGUCAAUGGGCGGAAGCCUGAACCAGCCAUGCCGCGUGAAGGACUAAGGCCCUACGGGUCGUAAACUUCUUUAGACGCAGAGCAAUAAGGUCCACGCGUGGACCGAUGAGAGUAUGCGUAGAAUAAGCAUCGGCUAACUCCGUGCCAGCAGCCGCGGUAAUACGGGGGAUGCGAGCGUUAUCCGGAUUCAUUGGGUUUAAAGGGUGCGUAGGCGGCCGAGUAAGUCAGCGGUGAAAGACCGGGGCUCAACCCUGGAAGUGCCGUUGAUACUGUUUGGCUGGAAUGAUCCCGCCGCGGGAGGAAUGAGUGGUGUAGCGGUGAAAUGCAUAGAUAUCACUCAGAACACCGAUUGCGAAGGCAUCUCGCGAGGGGUCUAUUGACGCUGAGGCACGAAAGCGUGGGGAUCGAACAGGAUUAGAUACCCUGGUAGUCCACGCAGUAAACGAUGAUGGCUAACUGUCGGGCCUGCGGGUUCGGCGGCCAAGCGAAAGCGAUAAGCCAUCCACCUGGGGAGUACGACCGCAAGGUUGAAACUCAAAGGAAUUGACGGGGGCCCGCACAAGCGGUGGAGCAUGUGGUUUAAUUCGAAGCAACGCGAAGAACCUUA